AAGUCCACGUGCCCACUGCUUACCCUGCCCCAUGCUUCAGGGUGGAGUGGGCGCAGGCACGCCAGGCCUUCUUUAGCUCUGGAAAGAAUAAGGCUGCCUUGGAGGCCAUCGAGCGUGCCGCUUUCUUCGUGGCCCUGGAUGAGGAAUCCUACUGCUAUGACCCCGAAGAUGAGGCCAGCCUCAGCCUCUAUGGCAAGGCCCUGCUACAUGGCAACUGCUACAACAGGUGGUUUGACAAAUCCUUCACUCUCAUUUCCUUCAAGAAUGGCCAGUUGGGUCUCAAUGCAGAGCAUGCGUGGGCAGAUGCUCCCAUCAUUGGGCACCUCUGGGAGGUAAUGGCCUUGCAGAGGGAACCUGCAGGGCAGGCUGUAGGGGAUGAGGCCAGCCUCUCAGUCUCAUCCUCUCCCUGCAGUUUGUCCUGGGCACAGACAGCUUCCACCUGGGCUACACGGAGACCGGGCACUGCCUGGGCAAACCGAACCCUGCGCUCGCACCUCCUACACGGCUGCAGUGGGACAUUCCAAAACAGGUGGGUUGGAAGCUCCCAGAGCAGGUGUGAGACCACAAAGCAGCAGGUGGGUACAACCCCGACAAGGCCUGAGCCUCCUCCUCCCCUGCUGGCCCCACUGCCUGGCCCAGCCCUCAGGAAGGC
rnacentral:sRNA from 1 species